AUAUAGCUCAGGGGCAUAAGCAUCUGCCUGGCAAGCACAAGGUCCUGAGUUCGAUUCCCAGUAU
rnacentral:tRNA from 1 species